rnacentral:rRNA from 1 species
CCUACGGGAGGCAGCAGUGAGGAAUAUUGGUCAAUGGACGAGAGUCUGAACCAGCCAAGUAGCGUGAAGGAUGACUGCCCUAUGGGUUGUAAACUUCUUUUAUAUGGGAAUAAAACGUUCCACGUGUGGGAUUUUGUAUGUACCAUAUGAAUAAGGAUCGGCUAACUCCGUGCCAGCAGCCGCGGUAAUACGGAGGAUCCGAGCGUUAUCCGGAUUUAUUGGGUUUAAAGGGAGCGUAGGUGGAUUGUUAAGUCAGUUGUGAAAGUUUGCGGCUCAACCGUAAAAUUGCAGUUGAAACUGGCAGUCUUGAGUACAGUAGAGGUGGGCGGAAGUCGUGGUGUAGCGGUGAAAUGCUUAGAUAUCACGAAGAACUCCGAUUGCGAAGGCAGUUCACUGGACUGCAACUGACACAGAGGCUCGAAAGUGUGGGUAUCAAACAGGAUUAGAUACCCCUGUAGUC